CAGAUUCUGUCCAGCAGAGUUCACAGCAUCCAUCUUCUUCUCUUCGGUAAUCUUUGGAAUGAGACCGGCGAAGCAGCGCAUGUACAGUUGUGGAGAAACUUUCUUUUCCACAACAACUGCGAAUCCGACAAAACUCACAUGGAUGGAGCAUGGAUCUGCAUGCUGCUUAGGUGUGGAUCACCAUAAUUCAACCGAAUAUAUUGAAAAUCUGACCUAAAAUACACGGGCUUGCUGAAAGGAAAAUUGCUGGUGGAAAGAGCAGAGCAGCAUAUGGGCCUUCCACGUGACACUCUGUUGAAGCAGGAGGCAGAGCCAGACAAAGAUCAUGAGGAAAAGAGAAUUGCUGUGCUGCAGUCUUUGAAUCCCUCAUCUGGGAUAUACAACUGCAUACAUUCUGUACCCUUUGAAAUUUUAGAAAGCACUUUUUGCAUGAAGCUGCACUGCACAGUGUACACUGUAAAAGCUAUGGCCAUCUGGUAGGCUUUUGCAUCCUGUGUUAUUAAACACCUAUCGACUAUGCUAUAAAUUCUUUGCUAACCUGA